UGCAGAUGUACGAGUACAAUUGGCAUGUAAGGGAAGCUUGAGUACUGGAGAGUGCUUUAAUGACACUGACCAUCUCAAGUUCCCAAGACACAUGAAAGUCACCAGCACCGUGUUUUUCAUUUUCUUCAAUGAGGUCAUGAGCAGGAAUAAAUUGUGCUGUGUGAAGGUGAAUUGAAACAGACUUUCCACUAGCCUAGUCCAGAUGGGUGCAUACAUACCCACCAGUACCUACCAUCGGUCACCUUUAAGGCAUCCAUAAAGUGUCCCUCACAGUUAGGCAUGUGGUUUUAGGUGGCCUCUUUGUUUUCUGUCCUCAGACAGGCAACUAUAUUCCAUCAAAGUUCUGUUCUGUUCCAUGAAAUAGCUAUUUCAAAGCUGCCUUUCUCUGUGGCGCUUGGCUAUAAAUUGAUGAGCACUUGGGAUAUCUCAUUUGUUUUUAUAAAUAUAUCCACAUUUCAAAUGUCAAAGGAUCUCUUAUGAAGAAUAUGAAAGUGGCUGGACGCUGUGUGGUCUCUCUCAAGAGUUCACUUUUACAAAUUAUAAGACAAAUAACAGUAUCACCUCAAAUUUCCUGAGCAACUUGAUUUACAUGAGCGAACUCUUGUGUUUUUUAAUUCAGCACCUUUUCAAAA